rnacentral:sRNA from 1 species
AAUUUCAUUUGAAGGGAAAAUCCUUUUAUAUCCGCCGCGGCGGAUAUAAAAGAUUGGAAUGAUAGCAGGAAAUAGC